rnacentral:rRNA from 1 species
CCUACGGGUGGCAGCAGUGAGGAAUAUUGGUCAAUGGGCGGAAGUCUGAACCAGCCAUGCAGCGUGCAGGAUGACGGCCCUACGGGUUGUAAACUGCUUUUGUACGGGGGUAACCGCCCUUACGCGUAUGUCUCUGCAUGUAUCGUACGAAUAAGGACCGGCUAAUUCCGUGCCAGCAGCCGCGGUAAUACGGAGGGUCCAGGCGUUAUCCGGAUUUAUUGGGUUUAAAGGGUGCGUAGGCCGUAUGUCAAGUGUGAGGUGAAAUGCCGGGGCUCAACCCGGGCAUUGCCGCGGAUACUGGCGUGCUUGAGACUGCGGACAGCAGGCGGAAUGCGUGGGGUAGCGGUGAAAUGCUUAGAUAUGAUGAAGAACACCGAUUGCGAAGGCAGCUUGCUACGGCAGAACUGACGCUGAGGCUCGAAAGCGCGGGUAUCGAACAGGAUUAGAUACCCCGGUAGUC